rnacentral:rRNA from 1 species
GAGGAAUAUUGGGCAAUGCCCGCAAGGGUGACCCAGCAACGCCGCGUGGAGGAUGAAUGUCGUAAGAUUGUAAACUCCUGUUAGAGGGGAAGAAUAGUACCGGUUGGACCGGUAUAUGACUGUACCCUCAGAGAAAGCCCCGGCUAACUACGUGCCAGCAGCCGCGGUAAUACGUAGGGGGCAAGCGUUGUCCGGAUUUACUGGGUGUAAAGGGCGCGCAGGCGGGAUAAAAAGUCAGUGGUGAAAUCCUACAGCUUAACUGUAGAACUGCCUUUGAUACUUUUAUUCUUGAGUUCGGGAGAGAGAGACGGAAUUCCAGGUGUAGUGGUGAAAUACGUAGAUAUCUGGAAGAACACCGGUUGCGAAGGCGGUCUCUUGGUCCGACACUGACGCUGAGGCGCGAAAGCGUGGGGAGCAAACA